rnacentral:rRNA from 1 species
UACAGAGGGUGCAAGCGUUAAUCGGAAUUACUGGGCGUAAAGCGCAUGUAGGUGGGUCAAUCAGUUUGAUGUGAAAGCCCUGGGCUUAACCUGGGAAUGGCGUUGAAGACUGUUGGUCUAGAGUCGGACAGAGGGCCGUGGAAUUUCCGGUGUAGCGGUGAAAUGCGUAGAGAUGUGGAGGAACACCGAUGGCGAAGGCAGCCUCCUGGGCCAGCACUGACGCUCAUGCACGAAAGCGUGGGGAGCAAACAGG